rnacentral:rRNA from 1 species
GAUCCUGGCUCAGGACGAACGCUGGCGGCGUGCUUAACACAUGCAAGUCGAACGGAGCACCCUUGACUGAGGUUUCGGCCAAAUGAUAGGAAUGCUUAGUGGCGGACUGGUGAGUAACGCGUGGGGAACCUGCCUUCCAGAGGGGGACAACAGUUGGAAACGACUGCUAAUACCGCAUGACGCAUGACCGGGGCAUCCCGGGCAUGUCAAAGAUUUUAUCGCUGGAAGAUGGCCUCGCGU